CUGAACUAAUAAUCCAUAACCUUAACUGCAGGGCAUGAAGAUAGCUGACCCACUUGCAAAGCAGAUUGCUCUCCAUUGAAGGGAGGUCCUGAUCGUUCUUUGUGCGUACUUGAUGGAUUGAACUGACCCUCCCUGGAUUUGAUGUACUUGAGCUGAACUUCUAGGAGUUCCUGACUGACUGAAAUAUAAAACCAAGAUCCUGACCACUCUGUGGUCAUUAGAGAUCUCAAGACACUUUUCAGAGCGUCAGGGUAUUAACUACAGCUUUUGAUUUCUCUAAUCAGUUUGUUUGAGUUAAAGCUCAAUUCUCAUCUACAGGGAGCAGAAACAACUUUCUCAACUUGAUGGCUUCUCUACACCACAACCAUGCAAUGCAUGUGUCAGAGUCCUUGACUGGUACCAUAUUUGUGCCUUUUAUCAGGAACUACCCAUUUAUUAAACUAUUUUAAAGUA